AUGAUAGCUGGAGGCCAGACGGAGGGUGUCCAGCUUGGAGAGCUUGGUGUCCGGCGGCACCCAGGGCAAGGUGGUCUUGAGGCGGGAGAAGGCUUUGCUCAGCACCCGCAUGCGGGCCCUCUCGCGGGCGUUGGCCGCGUUGCGCUGGACCUGCUUGCCCNNNNNNNNNNNNNNNNNNNNNNNNNNNNNNNNNNNNNNNNNNNNNNNNNNNNNNNNNNNNNNNNNNNNNNNNNNNNNNNNNNNNNNNNNNNNNNNNNNNNNNNNGGGGGGGAGGGAGAGGGGGGGAGUGGCGAGAUGCGGGCGAUCCCGCCGCCGCCGCCGCCGCCGCCGCCACCACCACCCGGGUGUCUCCUCUGGAUGCGGCCGGGCUGCCGUCGGAGGGCGAGCGGGAAGGCGCGCCGCACUUUGGGGCGAGCAGGACUCUCGGGUCAUUUAUCUGCGCGCCCGGCUUGGCGGGGGCAGGCAGGGAGGCGGUCCCGGGGAGGGGUUUCCCGCAGGCCGGACCGGGCUCCGUGGUGCUCGCACCCGCGUUCACCCCCGGUGGGCGGGGUAGGGAAGAGACCGGAGGGACGGCGGCUCGCUUCCAAAGCGGAGCGCAACUUGGAGCGGGGCGCCCGCUGCCUGCUCACCGUUCCGUUCCUCUGCUGGGCUCGCCGGACUAGCUUGCCCAACUCGGUCCGGAGGUGGGCCUUCUAUACAGCAAACACAAAUCUUUGUCAUUUUGCAGUCCCAAGAACAAUUUGUUGAUGAUGAAGCCAAGAAGUCGAUCACAGGAAGGAAACACUAACCUUUAGCAGGAGGGAGUUGACCAGUGAUGAAGUCAGGAAUGUGCUGAUCCCCUUAAGCUGGACAAGGCGGCAAAGUGUGGGAAGCUGCAGGGACAUCAAGAUGAAAUCACUGUUGGGUUAAUUAAUUAGGGUGGAAUGCCUUGUACACUGAGAAGAGGGAAGGAACAUGGAUCGCCCUGAAUCUAAGCCUCAAGUAGCAGCUUCAAAAAAUUUCUGCAGCCACAGGAAUCAUGGAAACUGUUGGGUAAAGCUUAAAUUGGCUUUGGUCCAAAGGACAAUGUCAAAUAUUCGUGGAAACAGGCUGCAGCUGCUGUGUGUACAAGGACUUCUCUGUAUAAAGGUUUGUGGCUCCUUCUAUUUACCACUUAAAUACACUCUCACAGAGAUUUUCACACCCAAUCACAAAUCCUGUUUCCACAUUAUUACUGGUGCCACAGAAGAGUGUAUUUGCAAAGGCACAUGAGUUCCACUGAAUGCUGAAAGCAAAGUCUGAGGCCAACACUCUGUGCUAUGUUACAGCUCAGUAGAUCACAGUCUUCUUCUCAGAAACCAACCCAGUAGUGGGAUCUACUGCGCCCUGUCACUUUAAGAAAGAAAUCAGCAGCUCCAACAUGAAUUGAUCACCAUAUGGAAAAGUAGCUCCCAUGGAAGUAGUCUUACUUUUAUUGCAGUAUCCUAUAUAAAUAGAUGGGCCUGUCUGGACUUAGAUGGACUCAAUACAUUUCUUAGUGAAGGACCCCCUUGCUUUCUCCUUUUAAGUUUUUCUUCUGCAUGUUUCCUGGUGAAUUUAUCAACAGAUAAUAGUAUUAUUGUCAGAAAGAUGCCACUGUUCUGAUAACACAUAUAAUAGGAUCUAUGAUGUAAACUUGUACAAUUGUUAUAACUUACACAAUGGUGCAAAAGAAAGUCUUCAUAUCUUUUGACUGCUUGUUUCUAGAUUUGAAUUUCAAAGAAUUUGAGUAUGGAAAACUUACUCUUUUAAAAUAUUUUAAUAGGGUUGAGUCUGCUGUACAAUCAGCACAUUCAGGAUGUAUUUACUCAUUAAAGUUUUGCAGUAUUUUUCUUGUAACUUCCUGCCUUUACUCAUGGAAGAUUAUACAUGGUGAAAUGAGAAAAAAGCCAGAAAUGACCCCUGGGUAAUAAUUCCAGCCACCAUAUCUGAAGAAUGCUCAGAUAUGUUCCAGCCUUCCCUUGGUUUUUUUAAAGAAUGUUACAGUAUAUGUCAAAAAUAUGUCUACAGCUAUCAUUCUUAUCAAGAAUUUUUGUCCUCCUAAGUUUCCUUUCUGAAUCUCAGUACCUCUUGCAAUGAGUACUUGGAAUAUUUGUCAAGUACCGGCCAGAGCUUGGGAAGUUACUUUCCAAACUAAUUAGUUAUGUUUAUUAGUCAUAUUUUAACUAGAGAUGGGCUGGACUUAAGUUGUGCCCCUUUGUAAGAAGUUUCCUGCACUGCACUGUAGCUGCAAUAAAUUCCCUCAAUCACUCCCCA
ensembl:lncRNA